GCCAUUAAUACUUUAGGUUUCCAAAUAAGAAACUGAGGUUGAAUAUGGGUCAGUGACAAGUCCAAGGUCACACAGCCAGUAGAUGGCAGAGCUGGAAUUAGACCACCAGUGUGAUAUGCCCCAAAGCACUAGUUGACUCCACUGUACCAGGUAUUAGAUGCACAAAGUUUGCUCUUUUUCUUCACCCUUCAUUUUGUUUCUUAAGAUGAACAUUUGAAUGCUACAAUGUACCUAGCUUUGUGCAUGCACACAAAUAAGUAUCAUCAGAUUCUUUGUACAGAUGUAGAAGCUGAAACUCAGAAACACUAAAUAAUCUAACAAAAAUUAACAAUUACUGAGAGAUCUGAGAUUUGGGCUCUGACUUUCUGAUUAUUGCUAUAGACUAUUGCUUUAAUCCAUCCUCUACUGACUCAUUUGCUCAUCAUUCAUCUCUAAUUAUGAAGUAUGUUUCUGUUUCUGUUUACAUCCCAAGAGUUGCUGGUUUAUUUAAAUGGACAUCUGCAUUUAUUAAGGUCCCUGGCUCAUCUAAUUGCGAUCUGUUUUUCUGCCCAUAGAGGAAUGGAGGGUUAUCUUUGGUGUAUAAGAUUGUUUCUCAGACUCCCAUCAGCUCAAGAAGAGCGAUGUGUCCCAUGAGGGCAGAGGACAAGCUGGCUGAAUGGAGAGAAUGUCAUCUCUGAGCCUAAGGAGGGGUUACCGCUCCAGUUAGUCUUAAAAGAGGUGACGGAAGAGCCUUAUAAAAAGAAUUACUGGGAGAGUUUCACAAAAAUAAAUAAAGGCCACUCAUGUUUCCCAAGGCUAUACUUUGUGUCUAUAAAGACCCAGGGACACAGAGCCCAAAUGUGGUUUGUUUGUUUGUUUAUUAUUUAUUUAUUAGAUACAGGUUCUUGCUCUGUUGCCCAGACUAGAGUGCAGUGGCACAAUCAUAGCUCACUGCAACCUUUAACUUCUGGGUUCAAGCGAUCCUCCCACUUCAUCCUCCUUAGUAGCUAGGGCCACAGUUGUGCACCUCCAUGCCUAUUUUACUUUUUUGUAGAGAUAACGUCUCCCUAUUUUGCCCAGGCUGGUCUCAAACUCCUGAUCUAAAGCAAUCCUCCCACCUAGGCCUUCCUAAGUGCUAGGAUUACAGAUAUAAACCACUGCACGCAGCCCCAAGUGUGGUUUGAUCAAAGUCAGUGAAAGAGCUUGGCAGUAGCCAGGCUCCGUGACUACUAACUUCCUGUUAGAACUAGGUAUUCUGUCCAAACCCUUGGAGUAUGACACACAGGGAUCAAAUUACCCAUGGCGUGAAGAAAUUGCUCUGCCUGGCAGUUGCUUCCCUCUAGUGGUCACUUUGCCUACAAGCAAGAAGAUGCUUGGAUUUGAAUCUUAGAAUUGAAAAUCCAACAGAUAAAAAUAGGAUGCUGUUUUACCAAGAAAGUUGGGUGUGGACCUCCAUACACUCUCAGAGGAGUAUGAUGGCAACAACAGCAACGACAUAAAAUACAGAGGUGUGCUUGUAUUCUGGUCUUUGCAAAAGUGUGUUUUGUGAAAUAUGUUAGAGGAAAAAAAUUAAUUAAAAUAUUCUGGCCGGGUGCGGUGGCUCAUGCCUGUAAUCCCAGCUCUUUGGGAGGCCGAGGUGGGCGGAUCACGAGGUCAGGAGAUCGAGACCUUCCUGGCUAAUACGGUGAAACCCCGUCUCUACUAAAAAUACAAAAAAUUAGCCGGGCGAGGUGGCUGCUGCCUGUAGUCCCAGCUACUCAGGAGGCUGAGGCAGGAGAAUGGCGUGAACCCGGGAGGCGGAGCUUGCAGUGAGCGGAGAUCGCGCCACUGCACUCCAGCCUGGGCGACAGGAGCGAGACUCCGUCUCAAAAAAAAAAAAAAAAAAAAAAAAAAAACUCUAAUCUGGGAUAGAUGAACACACACAUAAUUUCUUUUUAAAAAAUUGAGAAAUGUCGAUAUGUGUUGUUCCUUUUUUCUGCCUCAUUUCAUGAAUUCCCAUUUUAAAAAUGGGACAGUUGAGGUCCACAGGACAGUCACACAGUGGUUAAAAAUGGGACAGUUGAGGUCCAUAGGACAGUCACACAGUGUUCCAAUGCUGUGCUUAUGCAAUGACAAUGUCUUUUGGAAAUAUGUAUCAAGACAGAACCUCUAUUGGCCUGUGUGCCUGCCUGAACUAUGCUGAACAGAGACCCAUGCUAACUGAUAACAUACUGUAGUGUGAACAGAAAAUAAAUGUAUGUGAAGAAAAAAAGAACUUAAACAAGAAGUCCUCGAGAUCUUUUUGUUAUUUGCUUCUGCAGCAUAACCUCAGUUACCCUGAAUUCUAUAACACAUCUUUCAUUAGCUAGCUUCUGUUUUGCUCCCCUCUGGUUCAAAGGGUACAGGGGACAAGGAGAUGGGUCAUUUAUUAUUCCUGAUUGACUUCUCACUCUCUAGGCCCUGCCGAAGAUUAAAGCUGACUUCCUUUCUCUUGGGGUGUUUCCCUGAACUCCUCAGAGGUUUCAUGUUGGACACUCCUCCCCUGCAGCUUCUUUGACCCCAGGCUUUUCUAGCUAUUCUAGGAGGUCUCUGGGGAUCUGUCCUCAUUAUCUGGGCCUUCACACACAAGUAUACCCCCAGUCUCCUUUUGUAAGUUUUCCUUCUCCCUCCAGGCAGACCUACUGGACAAAACCAACCAAGACUCCAGUGAGCUCUGUAUCAUUGGCCCACACAUGUUCCCUGGGAAACAAUCACUGGCUCCUUGCCCUGAUGAACUUUCUAACUGCAGACCUUCCUUUGGAAAUCAUUUUUAUUCUUCCUGGAGUUAAUCCUUUAAACACUGCUCUAGUGACACCUGCUGGUAUUAAUAAUUUGUUUGCAUUUAUCUGACUAGUCGUUUUAUUCUCUUUCUUAAAAGAUAAUUUGUGGGCCGGGCACUGUGGCUCACACCUGUAAUCCCAGCACUUUGCGGGGCUAAGGUGAACGGCUCAUGACGUCAGGAGAUCGAGACCAUCCUGGCUAACACGGUGAAACUCUGUCUCUACUAAAAAUACAAAAAAUUAGCCAGGCAUGGUGCCACACCCCUGUAGUACCAGCUACUUGGGAGACUGAGGCAGGAGAAUUGCUUGAACCCAGAAAGGUGGUGGUUGC
rnacentral:lncRNA from 1 species